GGCUCGCUUCAGUUUUGUCCGGCGCAUCCUUACACUCGCCUGCGCACCCCCCACCUUCCUCAUCUCCUACCCUGCCGAGGCCGCGCUGCGACUUUUUUUUUUCCUCCUCUCCGACCCUCCUCCACCGCCUCCGACGACGACGCCUAUCUCACCCUCUCUCGCCCUUCUCGCCCUUUCCCUCUCCCUCCUCCUUCGCCUCCUCCGCCACCUCUGUCGACGAUGCCUCUCCACCGACAUCGGCACCGCGGAGGUCGCUACGGCACCGCAGUCUCGGAGCGGGGGGUCUUUAGUGGCAUCUUCGCCGGCGCCAUGGCCAUUGGCGGAGAGGUGUGACAAAAAAAAUUUGUAGAAGAAGGAAGAAGAAAGAAAUAAAGACAAAAUAUUAUAUAAGAAGGAAGAAGAAGAUGAAAUUGCACUGUUAAAAUAAGAUUAUACUGUUUUAAAAUAAAUUUGUAUUGUUUUCAUGAAAAUUGCACUAUUUGAUAUAGAAAUUAUACUCUUUUGGAAAUGAUUUUACACUAUUUAGGCUAAUAUUGCACUAUUUGAUUUUGAUAUUUUAAUUUUUAUAUAAAAUUUAUAAAUAUAUAAUUUGGAAAUCAAAAGAAGAGCUCUCUUUAUUCGGAGGAUUUUGUGGGUCUCACAUUU
rnacentral:lncRNA from 1 species